GAAAUCUAUGUGCAGGCCAUAAAUUACCCAACAGUGCCUCGCGGGGAAGAGCUGUUGCGGUUGGCUCCUUCUCCUUUCCACGAUCCCAUUAUGAUGAACUACUUUGUAGAGAAACUGUUGGAAGUCUGGCAGGAGGUUGGACUGCCGCUGAAUGGACCAGCUAUGGCCUCCUGCACCUUCUGUGAUAGGCCUCUUUAUUUUGACCUCAUGAGCGAGUGGGAGAAGUCCUACUUUGGGAACAUGGAGCCGAAAUACAUCACUGUGGCUGCACAGUGAACCAGUAUCAGCAGGCCAAGAUAAAGAUCUGUUUUAUCAGAUUAGGUUGACUCUAAAUCCACUUCCAUUCCAGAAUAUUUUAUGGUAAGAUAAAUGUAGAGGGUGCUAAAAAUGUCCUUAAUUUAAAGCACUGUUUGUGGCAAUAUGUGAUAAAAUAGUGUUUCUGCAUUGUUUGCUGUGACUGUUAAUCAUAAAAAAGAGAAUUUCCAUAUAAUAUUCGUAUAAAUGUACCACUAAAUUUAUUUAUUGAGACUUUGACUAAAUUAUACAUUAAUUGUGUGUCCCCUUUGCAUGAUGACAAACUUUGGAAAAUAGGCACUUUUUGGUAGUUUUCUAUUAUUGGUAUUAUCGUAUGUAUAUGUAUGCAUGCCAGAGUAUAUUUAAUAACAGCUUACAAUGAAACUAUCCCACAUGCCCUCUUUCUGUUUUGGACCAUUUGCACUCAAAUUGAUGAAUUAAAAAAAUGCAAUAAAUAUGGUCAGUUCCAACAAAA